ACUCAUUUCAACUAAAUCUGUCGCUUCAUUGUUUCUGGAGGAGCCGGACUGUGAAUCUCUGAGAGGAAGAGGAGGAGGAGGAGGAGGAGGAGGAGAGCGUCGAUGACAUCAACGAGCGCAAGAGUCUCCGGAGGCUUCUGGAAAUGGAGGAUUCUGCCUGAUCACGGAACAUGAUGCUCGAGUCUCCCGAACGACUUCAGCCGCAGCUUCGCGCAGGAAUACUGGCUCAGACCGCUGAGGAUUAUGAAAACCAGGACAUGAAGCUCAAACACAUCUAGAAAAAAAGAGAAACGAGUGCGUGUGUCUGGAGUCAGUCGUCGAGGGUCAUGGCUGUCUGGGGCAGGGGUCCUCUCCGCUCCUCGCUGCUGCUGCUCGUCUUCAUCUUCCUGCAGAUCUCCUGUGAAGCCUUGUGUAGGUCUCCAUGCGCUCUAACACGCUGUUGUUGGUAUGGUAACAAUGCAGGUCCUUUGUGAUGGGAUGUCGUCAUGGAAACUAAGCAGAGGCUGAUGCUAUUUUACUGCAAUGAAUUAUUAAAACAGAAAGAUUCGUGUCUGCUGGAUGCUGGAAUGAAUGUGAAUUCUCUCUCUCUCUCACAAAAAAACGCUGAAGAAUAAAGAAAGAGCAGCUGUAAUACAAUCAGUGUGACUGAGGAGGCCAUUUUAUAUGAUGUCACCAAAGAUUCAUUCAAAUGUUUUACAUGGAAUCA